rnacentral:lncRNA from 1 species
AUCUAUUUAAUUUCAAAAUAUAUUUUCUUUUUAAGAUAACAGAUUUUAUUUUUCUAUUUAAUUUCAAAAAUUUAUUUCCUAACAGAUUUUAUUUUUCUAUUUAAUUUCAAAAGUAAUUUUUGCAUUAGAGAUUAUUGUUAAUUAUUUAUCAUUUAAAGCAUAUCUUUCUUAAUAGCGUGAUUUAUUAUUUUAAAUUUUUUAGAUACAUAUUUGGUAAUCAUAUAAAAUAUGGCCUAAAAUUAAAAAAUAAUUUAAAAAAAUAUAGUUUUUUCUAAUAAUUAUUACGUAUAUUUGCACGUACAUUUUACUAGUAUAUAUAUAUA